GAUGCUGGUGAGAUUGCUGCCACCCGUCAAACUCGGAGCGCGGACCAAGAAGAAAAACAUCUGUGCGGGUGUUUGGGUCUCCAUCCCGUACUCGGAAUUAAAGUGAACGGGGGUAGGAGCUUCAUAAGUCGCACCAUAAAGCCAGUAUUACCUUUUCUUUUUGUUUUCCCCUCAAGAAAUAUCUAAUAGCUCUCAAGGAAGGUGAACUUUUCUUGAAUAGGUUGAAGUCAGGUGAAAUCCUGAUGGAAGUCCGCAGCGGUUCUGACGUGCAAAUCGAUCGUCAAAUUUGGGAAAAGGGGGGAAAGACUAAUCGAACCUUUUAGUAGCUGGUUCCUGUGGAAGUUUCCCUCAGGAUAGCAGCAACGAUAAACAUUUUCAUGAGGUAGAGCAACGUUUAGAGCCCUUGGGGUUGAACCACCCUUACCCUAUUCUCGAACUCCGAAUAUAUGAGAAGUCCUUGUUACUCAAUUGAACGGCACAUUGAGAUUACGUCUUUGUCCC
rnacentral:rRNA from 1 species